rnacentral:misc_RNA from 1 species
CAUCUUUUUAUCCUCAUUUUUAAUUUUAAUAAUACUAAAUUUUCUUUUGUAUUAACUUUUAUUUGUUAAGUGUUAUAUAGUUUUUGAAAGAUUGGGUAAAUAUAUUUAAAGUUUUUCUUUUUCUAUGAUAUCUGUUUAAUAUGUCUAAUAUAUGCACUAUACACAUAUUAAUCUCUUUACAUUAUUCUCUUUAGAUAUAUUAUAAAAUAGUAUUUAAAAUCAGUUGUCAGCCACAUGUGGUCUAUAUGAUGCAACAUGUUUGCAAUUGUUGGCAUGUCAUUUAAAAAUAUCAAUGCUGAUAAAACUGAAUUUUUUUAAAAAAAGAGUUAUUCCAGCCUUCCAACCAAAUAUUAGAGACUUUUAAAAAAGCACUCUCACA